rnacentral:rRNA from 1 species
UACGUAGGGGGCAAGCGUUGUCCGGAAUCAUUGGGCGUAAAGAGCGCGUAGGCGGCCCUGUAAGUCCGCUGUGAAAGUCAAGGGCUCAACCCUUGAAUGCCGGUGGAUACUGCAGGGCUAGAGUCCGGAAGAGGCGAGUGGAAUUCCUGGUGUAGCGGUGAAAUGCGCAGAUAUCAGGAGGAACACCGAUGGCGAAGGCAGCUCGCUGGGACGGUACUGACGCUGAGGCGCGAAAGCUAGGGUAGCAAACGGG